AUUGAACGCUGGCGGCAUGCUUUACACAUGCAAGUCGAACGGUAACAGGCCGCAAGGUGCUGACGAGUGGCGCACGGGUGAGUAAUGCAUCGGAACGUGCCCAGUCGUGGGGGAUAACUACUCGAAAGAGUAGCUAAUACCGCAUACGAUCUAUGGAUGACAGCGGGGGACCGUAAGGCCUCGCGCGAUUGGAGCGGCCGAUGUCAGAUUAGGUAGUUGGUGGGGUAAAGGCUCACCAAGCCAACGAUCUGUAGCUGGUCUGAGAGGACAACCAGCCACACUGGGACUGAGACACGGCCCAGACUCCUACGGGAGGCAGCAGUGGGGAAUUUUGGACAAUGGGCGCAAGCCUGAUCCAGCAAUGCCGCGUGCAGGAAGAAGGCCUUCGGGUUGUAAACUGCUUUUGUACGGAACGAAACGGCUCUGGUUAAUACCCGGGGCUAAUGACGGUACCGUAAGAAUAAGCACCGGCUAACUACGUG
rnacentral:rRNA from 1 species